rnacentral:rRNA from 1 species
UACGUAGGGGGCAAGCGUUGUCCGGAUUUAUUGGGCGUAAAGAGCGUGUAGGCGGCUUUGCAAGUCCGUUGUGAAAACUCGAGGCUCAACCCUCGAGACGCCGGUGGAAACUGCAAAGCUAGAGUCCGGAAGAGGAGAGUGGAAUUCCGUGGUGUAGCGGUGAAAUGCGCAGAUAUCAGGAAGAACACCCGUGGCGAAGGCGGCUCUCUGGGACGGUACUGACGCUGAGACGCGAAAGCGUGGGGAGCGAACAGGAUAG